AUUGAACGCUGGCGGCAGGCUUAACACAUGCAAGUCGAGCGGGGAAGAGUAGCUUGCUACCUUACCUAGCGGCGGACGGGUGAGUAAUGCUUAGGAAUCUGCCUAUUAGUGGGGGACAACAUCUCGAAAGGGAUGCUAAUACCGCAUACGUCCUACGGGAGAAAGCAGGGGACCCUCGGGCCUUGCGCUAAUAGAUGAGCCUAAGUCGGAUUAGCUAGUUGGUGGGGUAAAGGCCUACCAAGGCGACGAUCUGUAGCGGGUCUGAGAGGAUGAUCCGCCACACUGGGACUGAGACACGGCCCAGACUCCUACGGGAGGCAGCAGUGGGGAAUAUUGGACAAUGGGGGGAACCCUGAUCCAGCCAUGCCGCGUGUGUGAAGAAGGCCUUUUGGUUGUAAAGCACUUUAAGCGAGGAGGAGGCUACCGAGAUUAAUACUCUUGGAUAGUGGACGUUACUCGCAGAAUAAGCACCGGCUAACUCUGUGCCAGCCGCCGCAGUAAGAC
rnacentral:rRNA from 1 species